UUUGUGUACACACUGUUGAAUUGAGAGCCCGCCCUGCUAUCCCUCUGACAGCUUGGUGAUGAGGGCGCACGUGCCCACUACAGCAAAGCUAUAAAUAGCAGAUUUUGGAGCUGGUAAAGAGGCGGUAACAACAGGGGCCGAGUUGCUGGGAGCAUAGCUUGCUUAAUGGGGAGAAGGGAAGGAGGAUGAUGAGCCAGGAAGACUGAAGUGCUGUGGAGUACCUCCUUUAUCAGGCAUGAAGCUGGGCACUGAAGAUUUAGAUUCCUGACAUAUGAUCCUGCCCACAGGAAGCUUACAGUAAAGCAACCUUCUGAAGAAGAAAACAUUUCCUCAAAUUGCACUACUGGAGGUAUUCAGGCUACUGGAACUCUAAGAGUCAUCAUGCCAUGAUUCCAAACUCUGGCUCCAAAGCCCUUGUGUUUCUUCUUUUUGCCAACCUGAACUGCCUCUGACUUUGUUGUUGUACCCCUGAGGACUUAUUUCUGUGGAUAAAAACUAAAUCUCCAAAGCACCUGUGUGGCUCGGUGGGUAAAGCAGCUGCCCUCCGCUCAAGUCGUGAUCCUGGGGUCCUAGGAUCAAGCCCCACAUCGGGCUUCCCUGCUCAGCAAAGAGUCUGCUUCUCCCUCUCCCCAUCCUCUUGCUCAUGUUCUCUCUUUCUGUCAAAUAAAUAAAUAAUUAAAUAAAAUCUCUUUAAAAAAAAAAAAACCCUAAAUCUCCCUGCAGCCUACCAAGGAUAUCUAAUAAAGAUUUUCUUUGAAAUGGCUAAUAAAACGAAUCACUAAAUAAAC